rnacentral:rRNA from 1 species
CUAAUACAUGCAAGUCGAACGAAACUUUCUUACACCGAAUGCUUGCAUUCACCGUAAGAAGUUGAGUGGCGGACGGGUGAGUAACACGUGGGUAACCUGCCUAAAAGAAGGGGAUAACACUUGGAAACAGGUGCUAAUACCGUAUAUCUCUAAGGAUCGCAUGAUUCUUAGAUGAAAGAUGGUUCUGCUAUCGCUUUUAGAUGGACCCGCGGCGUAUUAACUAGUUGGUGGGGUAACGGCCUACCAAGGUGAUGAUACGUAGCCGAACUGAGAGGUUGAUCGGCCACAUUGGGACUGAGACACGGCCCAAACUCCUACGGGAGGCAGCAGUAGGGAAUCUUCCACAAUGGACGCAAGUCUGAUGGAGCAACGCCGCGUGAGUGAAGAAGGUCUUCGGAUCGUAAAACUCUGUUGUUAGAGAAGAACACGAGUGAGAGUAACUGUUCAUUCGAUGACGGUAUCUAACCAGCAAGUCACGGCUAACUACGUGCCAGCAGCCGCGGUAAUACGUAGGUGGCAAGCGUUGUCCGGAUUUAUUGGGCGUAAAGGGAACGCAGGCGGUCUUUUAAGUCUGAUGUGAAAGCCUUCGGCUUAACCGGAGUAGUGCAUUGGAAACUGGAAGACUUGAGUGCAGAAGAGGAGAGUGGAACUCCAUGUGUAGCGGUGAAAUGCGUAGAUAUAUGGAAGAACACCAGUGGCGAAAGCGGCUCUCUGGUCU